AAAAGUUGGGGGCAUGCCUUACACAUGCAAGUCGAACGAACCCUUCGGGGUUAGUGGCGCACGGGUGCGUAACGCGUGGGAAUCUGCCCUUGGGUAGGGAAUAACAGUUAGAAAUGACCGCUAAUACCGGAUGAAGUCUUCGGACCAAAGAUUUAUCGCCCAGGGAUGAGCCCGCGUAGGAUUAGGUAGUUGGUGGGGUAAAGGCCUACCAAGCCGACGAUCCUUAGCUGGUCUGAGAGGAUGAUCAGCCACACUGGGACUGAGACACGGCCCAGACUCCUACGGGAGGCAGCAGUGGGGAAUAUUGGACAAUGGGGGAAACCCUGAUCCAGCAAUGCCGCGAGAGUGAUGAAGGCCUUCGGGUCGUAAAGCUCUUUUACCAGGGAUGAUAAUGACAGUACCUGGAGAAUAAGCUCCGGCUAACUCCGUGCCAGCAGCCGCGGGUAAUAAUCUAUUUC
rnacentral:rRNA from 1 species